rnacentral:rRNA from 1 species
CAGCCGCCGCGGUAAGACGAACCGUGCGAACGUUAUUCGGAAUUACUGGGCUUAAAGCGCGUGUAGGCGGGCCGGCACGUCCGUCGCUGAAAUCCCACGGCUCAACCGUGGAAGUGGCGUGGAUACGACCGACCUCGAGGGGGGUAGGGGGACCUGGAACUUCCGGUGGAGCGGUGAAAUGCGUUGAGAUCGGAAGGAACGCCCGUGGCGAAAGCGAGGUCCUGGACCCUUUCUGACGCUGAGACGCGAAAGCCAGGGGAGCGAACGGGAUUAGAUACCCCGGUAGUCCCUGUCUCUUAUA